UACGGAGGAUCCAAGCGUUAUCCGGAAUCAUUGGGUUUAAAGGGUUCGUAGGCGGAUAGAUCAGUCAGCGGUGAAAGUUUAUGGCUCAACCAUAAAAUUGCCGUUGAUACUGUUUAUCUUGAAUAAGUGUGAAGUGGUUAGAAUGAGUAGUGUAGCGGUGAAAUGCAUAGAUAUUACUCGGAAUACCAAUUGCGAAGGCAGAUCACUAACACUUUAUUGACGCUGAGGAACGAAAGCGUGGGGAGCAAACAGG
rnacentral:rRNA from 1 species